GGCUGGCUGAGAGUAGUGGUGCUUACAACGAAUUGAUCACAGCCUUUGUUCCUUCUCCACGCCCACUGUGUCACUUGACUAGCCUGAA
ensembl:misc_RNA Y_RNA Y RNA